UACGAAGGGGGCAAGCGUUGUUCGGAAUUACUGGGCGGAAAGCGCGCGCAGGCGGCUAUCCAAGUCAGUGGUGAAAGCCCGGAGCUCAACUCCGGAACUGCCAUUGAAACUGUUUAGCUUGAGGACGAGAGAGGUGAGUGGAAUUCCCAGUGUAGAGGUGAAAUUCGUAGAUAUUGGGAAGAACACCGGUGGCGAAGGCGGCUCACUGGCUCGUUUCUGACGCUCAGGCGCGACAGCGUGGGGAUCAAACAGG
rnacentral:rRNA from 1 species